rnacentral:rRNA from 1 species
GAUGAACGCUAGCUACAGGCUUAACACAUGCAAGUCGAGGGGAAACGGCAUUGAGUGCUUGCACUCUUUGGACGUCGACCGGCGCACGGGUGAGUAACGCGUAUCCAACCUUCCCAUUACUGUGGGAUAACCUGCCGAAAGGCAGACUAAUACCGCAUAGUCUUCGAUGACGGCAUCAGAUUUGAAGUAAAGAUUUAUCGGUAAUGGAUGGGGAUGCGUCUGAUUAGCUUGUUGGCGGGGUAACGGCCCACCAAGGCGACGAUCAGUAGGGGUUCUGAGAGGAAGGUCCCCCACAUUGGAACUGAGACACGGUCCAAACUCCUACGGGAGGCAGCAGUGAGGAAUAUUGGUCAAUGGACGGAAGUCUGAACCAGCCAAGUAGCGUGCAGGAUGACGGCCCUAUGGGUUGUAAACUGCUUUUGUAUGGGGAUAAAGUUAGGGACGUGUCCCUAUUUGCAGGUACCAUACGAAUAAGGACCGGCUAAUUCCGUG